GUGAGGAAUAUUGGACAAUGGGCGCAAGCCUGAUCCAGCCAUGCCGCGUGCAGGAAGACGCAUCUAUGGUGUGUAAACUGCUUUUGUACGGGAAGAAACACUCCCUCGUGAGGGAGCUUGACGGUACCGUAAGAAUAAGGAUCGGCUAACUCCGUGCCAGCAGCCGCGGUAAUACGGAGGAUCCAAGCGUUAUCCGGAAUCAUUGGGUUUAAAGGGUCCGUAGGCGGUUUAAUAAGUCAGUGGUGAAAGCCCAUCGCUCAACGAUGGAACGGCCAUUGAUACUGUUAGACUUGAAUUACAAGGAAGUAACUAGAAUAUGUAGUGUAGCGGUGAAAUGCUUAGAUAUUACAUGGAAUACCAAUUGCGAAGGCAGGUUACUACUUGUGGAUUGACGCUGAUGGACGAAAGCGUGGGGAGCGAACAGGAUUAGAUACCCCAGUAGUC
rnacentral:rRNA from 1 species